UGAGGUAGUAGGUUGUAUAGUUUGAUGGGAGGGAAUUUAAUCCCAUUCUGGUGAUAACUAUACAGUCUAUUGCUUUCC
rnacentral:pre_miRNA from 1 species